rnacentral:rRNA from 1 species
UGGGGAAUUUUGGACAAUGGGGGAAACCCUGAUCCAGCAAUGCCGCGUGUGUGAAGAAGGCCUUCGGGUUGUAAAGCACUUUUGUCCGGAAAGAAAACUUCUGCCCUAAUACGGCGGGAGGAUGACGGUACCGGAAGAAUAAGCGCCGGCUAACUACGUGC